UGUGCGACCAGAAACAAGAAAAAGGGGGGAGAACACCAAAACCCUAAAACUCAUCAACUUGAUCGAAUUGAAGGUGUAAUCGAGUCUUAUAAUUGUGCAUAAACGAAGAUUAUUGAUCACCUAUACUAGGGAAUGAUAAGGCAACUCGAGUGGAGCUUCGGAAGGUCAAGUCGGGGCGGAUACGCGCUUAAAAGGAAAGCUUUAAGGUGUUAGGAGGAUGUUUUGAAUGAAGAUCAAGCUUACCAAAGAACCGAACACAACUAAAGAUCAAGUCUCCGCAUUUUUGUUCUUUCGCAUAUCAAAUCAAACUUGUUAACAUGUUUAAAUCUUUUGAAACACUUAUGAAAAUUUUUGUAAGCUCGAAAUUAGUAUGAAUUUUAUUUGCGUUAUAUUAUGUAUGUAUGCGAAAAGUUUACAAAUU